UUAAACCUCUUCCAGAGUAUCAAUUGGAGGGCAAGUCUGGUGCCAGCAGCCGCGGUAAUUCCAGCUCCAAUAGCGUAUAUUAAAAUUGUUGCAGUUAAAAAGCUCGUAGUUGAAUUUCUGCUGCAUCGCGUCUUCUUUUUGAUGAGUUGGCGUAUUGCGGCUUUUUUCGGAUGAUUUUUUUGUCCGGAUGAUUACUUUGAGAAAAUUAGAGUGCUCAAAGCAGGCUUUUGCCUUGAAUAGUUUAGCAUGGAAUAAUAAAGUAGGACUUUGGUUCUAUUUUGUUGGUUUUAGGUACCAAAGUAAUGGUUAAUAGGAACAGUUGGGGGCAUUCGUAUUUAACUGUCAGAGGUGAAAUUCUUAGAUUUGUUAAAGACGAACUACUGCGAAAGCAUUUGCCAAGGAUGUUUUCAUUAAUCAAGAACGAAAGUUAGGGGAUCGAAGACGAUCAGAUACCGUCGUAGUCCUAACCAUAAACUAUGCCGACUAGAGAUUGGAGGUCGUCAGUUUAUACGACUCCUUCAGCACCUUGAGAGAAAUCAAAGUCUUUGGGUUCUGGGGGGGAGUAUGGUCGCAAGGCUGA
rnacentral:rRNA from 1 species